GGAGAGUUGGCAGAGUGGUAAUGCAACGGACUCGAAAUCCGUCGAACCGCCUUAUAAGCGGCGCGCAGGUUCAAUUCCUGUACUCUCCU
rnacentral:tRNA from 2 species